rnacentral:rRNA from 1 species
UACGGGGGGGGUAAGCGUUGUUCGGAAUUACUGGGCGUAAAGGGUCUGUAGGUGGCUUGCUAAGUCAGACGUGAAAUCCCUCAGCUUAACUGGGGAACUGCGUCUGAGACUGGCGAGCUUGAGUGCAGGAGAGGAGACUGGAAUUCCCGGUGUAGCAGUGAAAUUCGUAGAUAUUGGGAGGAACACCGGUGGCGAAAGCGGCUCUCUAGACCGAUACUGACGCUCAUACGCGAGAGCGUGGGUAGCAAACAGG